GUUUCCUUGUUAGGCAAUACUCACCAGAACUAGCUUUGGUGCAGGCAAAGGGCUGAGAAUGACAGUACAGUUGUGGAUGCCCCCGAAAAAGCUGAAAAAUUUGCUCAGAGGUACACAGCAAUUCUUGAAGACAUAAAGAAGGAUCCUGAGAGUCAUGGUGGCCCCCCAGAUGGCAUUCUUCUUUGCAGGCUUCGUGAGCAGGUCCUUAGAGAACUAGGUUUCAGAGACAUAUUUAAAAAGGUUAAGGAUGAGGAGAAUGCUAAAGCUAUUGCACUCUUUGAGGGAGUUGUUCAACUUAAUGAUGCUAUUGAAGAUGAUGGCGAGCGUGUUGAGAACUUGAUUAAGGGUAUUUUGGCGGGCAAUAUAUUUGAUUUGGGAUCUGCACAGCUUGCAGAAGUUUUUGCUAGGGUUGGCAUGUCUUUUAUGACAACUUGUCAAAAUCUUGUCUCCCGACCUUGGGUAAUUGAUGAUUUGGACACAUUCAAGACGAAAUGGAUUAAAAAGUCA